CCGACCCCAUACACUGUCUCUCUUCUGUUUCCUCUUUCCCUCGCUCUCUGGAACUCUCGGGUACCGUUUUGCUCUGUGAAGAUUGCAACUGAAAGCUUCGGCUCUCUUUCCUUUCUGUAACACUUUUAUCUAUCUGCGAAGCGCGAAGUGUGAGACGACGCCGUUUCGUUCUGGACUCGAUUUAAUGGUGUGCGUUUCUCUGUGAUCUUGGGGUGAAUUCGGCGAUGAGUGAGCUAACCCGAUGCCUGGUGUUUGAUUCUGGUUUUGGCGUUGUGGAUUGUGUUGCUCGAAUUAUAAGAAAUGUUUGAUUGGAACGACGAAGAGCUUGCUAACAUAAUAUGGGGUGAGGGAGUCGAGAGUGAUGAUCAUAUUGUGCCUUAUCCAGAGGUAAAUGAAGAUCUCAGUGACAAAAAAGAAUGGAAUCAGGAAGUUGCUGCAACUAAGCUGAAGAGACCAGAGGCUAAAAGUGAUUUUCAUGAAAGAAAGCUAGGAAGCAGUUCCAACCUUGAUAACAGUGGAGAACUACCUGCCUCAGGAUAUGGAACAAAUUCAUGGCCUGACUUGUCUUUAUCAAGUGCUGCUAAAAUUGACAAGGGUUUCCUGGGUACUGAAGUAUCUAAAAAUUUAAGUGAACAUAGCAAAUUCAGUUCAUCAAGAGAAGAGACUAUACAACAUGAAAAGGAUGCUGAGAUUUUCCAAAAUGCUCACGAAGGUAAAGAACAAGGUGAUUUUGUUGACUAUGGCUGGGCCAACAUAGGAAGUUUUGAUGACCUUGAUCGAAUUUUCAGCAAUGAUGACCCUAUAUUUGGCCAUGCAAGUCUUAAUAAUUAUGAUGAGCUUUGGUCCUCUAAAGAUGAGAGUAGCAAUGCAGCACCUUUACCUUUGAACACAAGUUCAUCAGGUGCUUUAAGGAAUAGAACUGAGCCUUUGGAAAUCAAAGAAGAAUAUGUUCAAUGUAAUGACGAAUCAUUGGACCUCAGCUUCGAGAAGAUUGGUGGUCCUGCAUCUCAAGUUAUACAAAAUUCACACAAAAUCCCAGCUGAUAUGGGAAGUGCUGGAGUUAGAAGUAAGCCUACUGGAAAAGCACAGCAGGUUUUUAGGCAAAAGAAUAUUUUGAAAACUCGGAAAAAACUGCAGGUAAAACAAGAAGGGAAUGCCUUGCAGGGUUUUUAUGGUAAUUGGUCUCCUUCAGCAGCACCAGAAAAACAAUUUGAGAAUCAAUUGGCACCUUCUGUCAUACAGUCUUCUCCCUCUUCAAUUCUUGGACAACAGAAGCAGAUCCAAGGCCCUGAAACCCUAUAUCAGAAUAUCAUAAAUCCAUACAUGGCAUCUUCUGUGUAUGGGAACCUUACCAAUACAUAUCCUGCUGUACCAAUGUUAUCACAGACUCAGUCAAGAGAUCUUCGGCAUCAGCCAGCACUUUCUGGGUAUGAAGUGUCUCCUGGUAUAGUGAAUCCUGUGAUGAAUUCUGUGGACUCACUCAGGCCCCAAACCAUGACUCCUCAAGAGAAAAUUGAAAAAUUGAGGAGGCGGCAGCAAAUGCAGGCAAUGCUUGCAAUUCAGAAACAACAGCAACAAUUGGGCCAUCAAGUUUGUAGCACUGGUAAAUCCAGCACUCAAAAAUGUCCUCCAGAAAUUCAAAGUCAUCAUAGUGAUGGAACUGAUGAAGAUCUAAGAAAUCUUCCAGCUCUAGAUCCCCCAAUUGAACAAGAUGAUUCUAAUACAAUAUCUGUGGCAGUUGAUAAUGAUUUUGUUGAAGACGCCAUUUUAUACAGGCUUCAGGAUAUUAUAUCAAAGGUAUGGUUGAAUUGAUACUUGCUAAUGUAUUAUAUGCAGUAUAACUGUUUUCUUGUAUACUAAUCCGGACAUGGCUACAAUCCCGAGGCAAACUUUUUCUACAGUUAGACAUCAAAAUAAGACUCUGCAUCAGAGAUAGCUUGUUCCGGUUGGCACAGAGUGCAAUGCAAAGGCAUUAUGCUAGUGAUACUAGCAGUACAAACAAAAGUAGCAGAGAAGAACUUGAAGUUGCUGCAAGGGAAGAAAGCAAUGUCCAAAACAGCAAGAAGCAGGGAUUCAAGAUCUUGAAUAGAAAGAAGGCCAUUCCAGCACAUGACUGUGGUGAAGGAAUCAUACUCAAGCAAGAUUCAAGUCAGAUAGCAAUGAAAGGAACCAGGAAAGUAAUAAAAAAUCCUACUGUUCCCAUUGCAAAUAUGCAGAAUUGACAUGAUCUUGAUCCCAAUGUACAUUUGUUUGAUAUCAUGAUGGAAUUUGGACGUUAUGCACAAACCUUUGAAUAUCGUGGCCACAGAUUACAACUUCUACUUGCUAUUGCCAAGUCAAGAAAUUCAUGUUAGUCAGUUUAGUAGUAACUGGCUGAGAAAACCGCUAAGAUAUCCCACAUUGGCUAGGAAUAAAGACAAAAUACUCUUUGUAAGGGCUAAUGUGCAAUGUUAAGAUAGGACACAGUUAAGAUAUCCCACAUUGGCUAGGAAUAAUAGAAAACAGUUAAGAUGAUCGCUGAUACCAGAUUAGGCGUUAGUUAGCUAGUUCAAGUAAAUAGCUGGUUUUUGCUGCUCAGAAUAAACAUGUGCCUUUGUUUUCAACUGAACACCUAUUAAUCACAAGAGUAGGGCUUCUAUUACCUAGUUUCCUUAUUAGUGAUGACAGUAUUUUUUUUCCAAUUAAUUUAUAAGCAUGUUUAUCUUGCAAAAACAAUGAUGGAUAUAACAUUUUGGUAAAUGUCAUCACCUCAAUUAUGCUGCGAUGAUGCUAAAGUUGCUAACUAUUGUCACUGUAUGAACCGCGUAUUUGUAUGACAGAUAUGCCAGGAUCCCUGAUGUUGAAACAGAGACGAAUCCCAUUGAUAGAACUGUGGCUCGUUUACUUUUUCAUAGGCCUAUGGAGUCAACCCAAAACUAUUCUGACAAACUGGAGUCACCUAUUUCUACUAAGGUGCAACGUGAAAGCAAAACAGCUAACCUGGUGAACUUUCCUGUAAGUUGCUUACCAAAUGAGGACUUGAAAAGUAAUCAGCAACUCUCCCGCCUUGGGUUUAAGAAUUCUUGGUUUGAGGCCCAGUCUAUGGAUCAAAUUAAAAACAGUCCCUGCAUAGACACAUCAGAGAAUGCAUCCAACACACAGGAGCUGGAAGCUUCACAAUGAAAAGAGGUUCACCAAAAAUCUGAGGGUAAACCCUUCCUUAUUACUUCCAUGUUUAUUGUUAUGCUUUCCUCUUUCAAUUAUAUAUGGAUUUACUGGUAAUGCAAAUGUUUUAUUUUAUUGUCAGCCAUUUGGAUCAUAAUCUGGCGCAAGUAUCACAGUAGAAUCCUGAGCACCAGUUCAUGCAUGCAUGUUAUCAGUAAUAUUAAUAAUGUUUCUGCUGUUUAAAAACAUGACAAGAUGUAUAUCAGUAUCUGACCAUACUUAAGGUCGUGAGUGCUAAGUUUUAAUCAUAAAUAAUCAAAAGUGCCUAGCAAAGCCACUCAGAUGUCAAAUUCUAUGUCAUAUUUCUGUAUGUAUGACUUGUCAUACCUACCUCAUCAUAAUUUACGUUUUAUGUCACUAUUUGAGAUUGAGACAUGAACUUGCGAUUAUUAAUUUCGAUUUAAGUGUGUUGUCAGUUUUGGCGAAAAAUUGUGCGGAUAUAACAAGCCAUAAUAUUUGUCUUCAUUUUAAUAU